rnacentral:rRNA from 1 species
CCUACGGGGGGCAGCAGUGGGGAAUAUUGCACAAUGGGCGAAAGCCUGAUGCAGCGACGCCGCGUGAGGGAUGACGGCCUUCGGGUUGUAAACCUCUUUCGACAGGGACGCGGUACCUGUAGAAGAAGCACCGGCCAACUACGUGCCAGCAGCCGCGGUAAUACGUAGGGUGCGAGCGUUGUCCGGAAUUACUGGGCGUAAAGAGCUUGUAGGCGGUUUGUCGCGUCUUCUGUGAAAACUCACAGCUCAACUGUGAGCUUGCAGGGGAUACGGGCAGACUAGAGUACUUCAGGGGAGACUGGAAUUCCUGGUGUAGCGGUGAAAUGCGCAGAUAUCAGGAGGAACACCGGUGGCGAAGGCGGGUCUCUGGGAAGUACUGACGCUGAGAAGCGAAAGCGUGGGUAGCGAACAGGAUUAGAUACCCUUGUAGUC